GUGCUCACAGCAGCAGCGAAUGUGUCAAAGUGGGACGUAGAGGAGAUUAGCAUGGCCCCUGUGCAGAGAUGACAUGCAAAUUCACAAAGCAGUUUAAUCUUUUC
ensembl:snRNA Gm24839 U6 spliceosomal RNA